rnacentral:rRNA from 1 species
AAUAGAUACCCUGGUAGUCCACGCCGUAAACGAUGUCGACUUGGAGGUUGUUCCCUUGAGGAGUGGCUUCCGGAGCUAACGCGUUAAGUCGACCGCCUGGGGAGUACGGCCGCAAGGUUAAAACUCAAAUGAAUUGACGGGGGCCCGCACAAGCGGUGGAGCAUGUGGUUUAAUUCGAUGCAACGCGAAGAACCUUACCUACUCUUGACAUCCACGGAACUUUUCAGAGAUGAAUUGGUGCCUUCGGGAACCGUGAGACAGGUGCUGCAUGGCUGUCGUCAGCUCGUGUUGUGAAAUGUUGGGUUAAGUCCCGCAACGAGCGCAACCCUUAUCCUUUGUUGCCAGCGGUUAGGCCGGGAACUCAAAGGAGACUGCCAGUGAUAAACUGGAGGAAGGUGGGGAUGACGUCAAGUCAUCAUGGCCCUUACGAGUAGGGCUACACACGUGCUACAAUGGCGCAUACAAAGAGAGGCGACCUCGCGAGAGCAAGCGGACCUCAUAAAGUGCGUCGUAGUCCGGAUUGGAGU